AUGCUUUCCAAGGAUGGAUAGCCAAUUUCUACUUCUUUGUUAUCUGAUGUUUCUGUUAUAAAAAAUAAUUUUUAGAGGCAAUUUUAAUCAGAUGAAAGAUAGGAAACGUAAUUAGUAGAUUUUUGUGAAUACAUAGUAUUCUGUAAUCUCUAUAUCUGGCCUCAAGGUAAAAGACUAAUUUUUCUCUAUCUAUAAAAUAGUUCUUUUAAAAUAUUUCUUUAUGUCUGUGUAGAUUGGCAGCUCCCUCACUUGGCUCUCAAUACUAAA
rnacentral:lncRNA from 1 species